rnacentral:rRNA from 1 species
CACCGCGGUUAUACGAGAGGCCCCAGUUGAUGGACACGGCGUAAAGGGUGGUUAAGGUUUAGUAAAAAUAAAGCCAAAAGACCUCUUGGCUGUCAUACGCCCCUGAGUCUCCGAAGCCCACAUACGAAGGUAGCUUUAAUACUAUAUUUACCUGACCCCACGAAAGCUGAGAAACAAACUGGGAUUAGAUACCCCACUAUGCUCAGCCAUAAACUUAGGCGUUAUUUUACAAUUAACGCCCGCCAGGGUACUACGAGCAUUAGCUUAAAACCCAAAGGACUUGGCGGUGCCUUAGACCCCCCUAGAGGAGCCUGUUCUAGAACCGAUAACCCCCGUUAAACCUCACCACUUCUGGCCAUCCCCGCCUAUAUACCGCCGUCGUCAGCUUACCCUGUGAAGGAUAAAUAGUAAGCAAAGUGAAUAUAAUCCAAAACGUCAGGUCGAGGUGUAGCGAACGAAGUGGGAAGAAAUGGGCUACAUUUUCUUUAAUAAGAAUAUUACGGACAACACUAUGAAAACUUAGUGCUUGAAGGAGGAUUUAGUAGUAAAAAGGAAAUAGAGUGUCCUUUUGAACCUGGCUCUGAGGCGCGUACACACCGCCCGUCACUCUCCCCGCCAAUAGCAACAAAUGUUAAUAACAUAUAAGCACAAAUAAGGGGAGGCAAGUCGUAACAUGGUAAGUGUACCGGAAGGUGCACUUGGAUCAAAUCAGGGCGUGGCUGAG